ensembl:snRNA U6 U6 spliceosomal RNA
AUGCUCACUUCAGCAGCACAUAUACUAAAAUUGGGACAGUAUAGAGAAUGUCAGCAUAGCCCCUGCACCAGGAUGACAUGCAAAUUAAUGAAGCAUUCCAUAUUUAA